GGAUUAGAUACCCUGGUAGUCCACGCCGUAAACGAUGGAUACUAGGUGUUUGGGAAGUUAAUCUCCUGAGUGCCAAAGUUAACGCAUUAAGUAUCCCGCCUGGGGAGUACGGUCGCAAGGCUAAAACUCAAAGGAAUUGACGGGGGCCCGCACAAGCGGUGGAGUAUGUGGUUUAAUUCGAAGCAACGCGCAGAACCUUACCUACCCUUAACAUUCUGUGACCGCAUGAGAGAUCAUGUUUUCCUUUCGGGGACACAGGGAUAGGUGCUGCAUGGCUGUCGUCAGCUCGUGCCG
rnacentral:rRNA from 1 species